GGCAAGAUCUCCUGAAAAUAAUGUGUUAAAGAACUCACCGACUAUGAACGUAAUGCCGUGUGACUCUUUACGCUGUUUUGGUCUAAGGUACUUCAUGGCCUUCCUUUUGUCUUCCUCGGCGAAGUUUUUGAAUUUGAAGCUACAGUGCAGACAAGACCAACUAUGAGACCAGUGGCCACUUCACAUUGUCUGAGAACUUUCUCAAGGGAAGUUUUCAGCCGCUAAUGACCGAAAUCUAGAUAUGAUCUAAUCAUAAAAUCAUGGAACUUUCCACAACUUUCAGAUAAAUGGCAAGAACUUGUUUUCCAGUGACCUGCAAAAAAGCAGGAUCUUCAUGAUUACAAACAGG